CCUACGGGAGGCUGCAGUGGGGAAUAUUGCGCAAUGGGCGAAAGCCUGACGCAGCGACGCCGCGUGAGGGAUGAAGGUCUUCGGAUCGUAAACCUCUGUCAGCAGGGAAGAACGGUCACGGGGCUAAUCAGCAGUGAAUGGACGGUACCUGCAAAGGAAGCACCGGCUAACUCCGUGCCAGCAGCCGCGGUAAUACGGAGGGGGCGAGCGUUAAGCGGAAUUACUGGGCGUAAAGCGCUCGUAGGCGGUAUGUCAAGUCAAGGGGGCAAUCCCCGCGCUCAACGUGGGAACUGCCUUUGAAACUGGCAAACUGGUGUGUGUGAGAGGCUAGUGGCAUUCCCGGUGU
rnacentral:rRNA from 1 species